rnacentral:lncRNA from 1 species
UUGGAUCAUUCAGCUGAAAGCUGAAGUUCGAUACAAUACAAAACAAAAGAAAUUCAUUCAAGUUUAUUUUGUAGCUAAAAGGUAGCCUUCAAAAUCAAUUUUUCUCAGAAAAGGAAAACUAACGAGCAAUUUGCCAUCAGUAAGCAUGUGAAAUCAUUAGCUGAAAUCCUAAUGAUGAUCUCAUAAACACCAAUUAAAAGAGAAUUAUAAACAGUUUUAAGUGAUUAAAAUAUAGAGGCAAUCCAAAAACGUUUUCUUAAGAGGUAAUGAUGAACUUCUAGUUCAAUGGUCAUUCAGAUUUAUGAUUCCACAUAAGGUCAUACUUUGAAGCAGAACUGUGAACUUCCAACUUAUGCGAGGCUAUCUUUGAGCUGGUUGUUCAAAUCCAAAUAUUAAGAUAUUGAGAUAACUUAUUUGAGGUCAAAACUUCCAACUUAUUCAGAGUUCAGACAUGGGUAGAGUGACAUUGUUGUCAUAUCCAUUGAAAAAAAAAAAAAUCUUUCUCACAAUAAUUGCAGAGGAAAGUUGAAUUUUCCAUCUUGAAGUCUUAGAAAGUAACUUGAUGAGGAAAAUAGCUAUGAGGGUAGCUUAAACAAAAUGGCUCACAAACUUUUUUUUUUCCCAACUAUAUAAAGAACUAUUUUUAUUGCCAGAAGUGAGAGCAGAAACUUGCACUGAGCAGGAUAGCAGUUUGAAGAGCGUAGGCAUCUUUAAAUGUUACGUAUGCAGUACAAGCAUAUUCACCAGAUCUGUUUUCAGAGUAAGCAUUCCUCGAGUCAAAUACAGUUUAUGACCAUGGAAAAAUAAAAAUGAAUAGAUGUGUGUGAUUUGAUUGUGCAAACAAAAUGCAGUAUCCAGAACCAAAAACUGCUAGGCAAGAGUACAACAAUCCAAGAAACAUAGGGAUAGCAUUCAACACUGGCCUAUCAACACCCCUUGACUCAUCUCUUGAUAUGUGCAAGUUCUUGUUAUUUAUAAUUGUUACCAGAACAUAAUGUUGACAUCUCAUCAAAUGCCUCUUUUCCAUAAUAUUUUAUACUUAAAUAUAGAAAAAUAAGUGAGCAACUAAGAAUACACUAAGUGAUUGUAGAUAGUAAUGUUCAACCUCAUAUACAUUCCUAGUUUUUCAGAUGAAUAAAGAAAUGCAGAGGAACGAUUACCAAAUAAUGGAAAUGGACAAUACCGAAUAAAUAAAGAAAUGCAGAGGAAUGAAUACUGAAUAAUGGAAAAGCUUUUAUGAGAAACACAUGAGGAAUUCAAACCUUAAUUUCAAUUUUUGUUCAAGAAGCAAUUCAAUUUCAGAGACUGCAUUAGAGGUCUAUAAACAUACCAAUCUUGGUUCAAUGGAAAGAACAAUUAUUGGAAUCCUCCAGCAAAAGAAUUGCAAUUAUUUUAGGGAUGGAGUUAGACUCCAAACACGUCAUAAAUAAUAUUAUCAAUCUAUCUAUCUAAACCACUGAUUCCCCCUAAUUGAAAGGGUAAAACAUAUGCAUUUCAUUUUUUGACCUUUUACAAAAGAAGCAUUCACUAAUCAGUUUUUCAAGUAUAUAAUGGCAUAAAUUUACUGAUGAUUUGUAAAUAUACUCUGAUGGAAAUUGCUCUUAGGAGUAAAUUCAUAAUUUGCAAGCAAGAAGCUCGGUGGACGCAUAUUACCUGAUGAUUUCAACAUGCUCAAUAGCACCACAGUGAGAAAAAAAUUCGUACACGUCCUUCUCUUCUGCUUUAGGAGAUAAGCUUGUAACCUCAGCAGUGUAACCACCAGGAUACAUGGUGAAGUUUUACAAUGUGCAAGCUAGAUAUAAGUUGACCUGAUUGAGGAGGUAUAUAUAUAAAAUAUUAGCAGCAUAUUCUAACACAGUCAAUUUUGUUUCUAGAAAUCAUCAUUGCUCCCUUCAACAACUUAUAGAGAUAAUGCAAUUAUAUACACAGAAAAGGCAUGUUUUUAAAGGAUAAUUAAGAUAAGAAAAAUGUCAGAAUAAGACAAUAUGCAUUAUCAUUUCCAUUCAGCCUAGCCAUAUCUUGCAAUCCUAAGGUCCAUAACCUCCAGCGGUCCCUCCCUCACAACCCCCUCAUAGUACAACAAAAAAUCAUUAGAUGCUCUUCCUUGAACUGUUAACAUGAAUUUCUAGAAUAGAUUAGUCUACAGUCAUGCAUAAAUCUUCAAAUCUCUUCAAAUCUUCAAAACAUAUUUCCAAGCUAAAGAAACGCCCAUAUUACCAGGCAAUUUAAUAAGUGGAAAUAACCCAUGAAAAGAAUUGAUCAACAUGCAUUUCUUGAUACUUGGGGGAUUAUUUGUAAUCACAAAAAGAAGACAACAAUUCAUUAAUUCAUCAGAAAACAUUAAAAAAUAAUAACUCGAAAUUUAUGUGUAAUCAGAAAGAAUGAAGUGAUUAUCAAAGAAAUGAAAAUAAAAAUAUUGGAUUAGGUUUGCAUACCUGAGAUGAUUAGCUAGUUACGAGGGAGAGAGAAAUUAAGUGCAGAGAAAGAGGUAGAGUUAACCGAGUAACUAACGUCUAGAAGUUGCUAAGUGCCAACCGACAGAUUUUUAAUCAAAAUGUUACCCCCACGCGCCACCAACACCACGUGUGAUGUUAGAUAGUUUUAGUUAAAUGGUUAAUGAGGUAGUUAAUAUUUCUGGACUGAAUUAGACAUGGGCCGGACUCCAUAUUUUAUAUUUAAUGUGUAUUAUUUUUUUUUCGUGGCUGUUAGACAUUAGAUAAAAUAGAACAUCUAUGCUAUCCGCUCCCGCAGGUUUAAGAUAUAUAAAUAUAAGUGAUGGUUUUAUAAUUAUGAAUUAAUAUUAAAUAAGUAAUAAAAAUUAAUAUUGUAAUGGAUUCAAUAUUUUAUGACAGAAAAAAAAUUAUUUUGGUAAUAAAAAACUUAGAAACUGAAUAAAAUAAUUUCGUAGCAAUCCAUAGUGUUUUGUAAGGAAAAUUAUAGUGUUUUCCUCAUAUAAUUUUGUUUUUUAUUAAAUGAUUUAGCUUUUCUGUUAAUAAAAAAAAAUACAAAACUAAAUUCUUUAUCAAUUCAAUAUUAAAAAACAAUCAACAAAAAUAAUUUUGAAAAUAAUCAUAACAAAAAAAAAACCAUAUAGGAAAACACUGUAGCAAUCCAUGAUGUUUUGUGAGGAAAGCUACACUGCUUCCCCACAUGAUUUGACCUUACUUGUAAUUGUAAUUCUUAACCAGCUCAAUAUUAAAAAAACAAAAUCGACAAAGAUAAUUUUGAAAAAAUUAAUAAGGAAAAAAAAAUCAUAUGGGGAGAUACUAUAGCAAUCCACAGUGUUUUGUGAGGAAAGCUAUAGUGCUUUUCUCGACAUGAUUUAGCCUUAUUGUAAUUAUAAUUCUCGACCAGCUCAAUAUUAAAAAAAACAAAAUAAACAAAGACAAUUUUAGAAAAAACAAUAACAAAAAAAAAAACCGUGUGGGGAAACACUAUAACAAUUCAUAGUGUUUUAAAGAAAAAAAAUACAAAGCUAAAUUAUAAUCAACUCAAUAUUAAAAUAAUAAAAUCAACAAAAAUAAUUUCUUUUUAAAAAAUCAUAAUAAAAAAGAAAACACAAAAAAAGGAAAAAAAAACCAUAUGCAAAAACACUAUAGCAAUCCAUUUGUGAGAAAAGCUAUAGUGUUUUUCUCACAUGAUUUAGCCUUACUUAUAAUUGUAAUUCUCAACCAAUUAAUAUUAAAAAAAUUAAAUCGACAAAGAUAAUUUAAAAAAAAAUAUUAAAAAAAACAAUAUAGAGAAAACAUUGUAGCAAUACAUAGUAAUUUAUGAAGAAAGCUACAAUGCUUUCCCUAUAUAUUGUAAUUGUAACAACUAGCUUAAUAUUAAAAAAUAAAAUCGACAAAAAUAAUUUUGAAAAAAAUUAUAUAAAAAAACCUUGUGGGGAAAUACUAUAGUAAUCCACAAUGUUUUAAAGAAAAAAAUUAUAAAGCUAAAUUCUCAACCAGCUCAAUAUUAAAAAAAUAAAAUUGACAAAUAUUAUUUUGAAAAAAAUCAUAACAAAAAAAGGGGGGGAACCAUGUGGGGAAACACUAUUAGCAAUCUACAAUGUUUUGUGAGUAAAGCUAAAGUGUUUUCUCCAUAUUAUUUAACCUUACUUGGAAUUGUAAUUCUCGACCAGCUUAAUAUUAAAAAAAUAAAAUCAACAAAGAUAAUUUUGAGAAAAAUCAUAAAAAAAAAACCAUGGGGAAACACUGUAGAAAUCCAUAAUAUUUUAAAGAAAAAAAUUACAAAGCUAAAUUCUAACCAGCUCAAUAUUAAAAUAAUAAAAUCAAUAAAGAUAAUUUUUUAAAAAAUCAUAGCAAAAAAAAAAAACUCAAUAAGAGGGAAGAAAAAAUAAUGUGGGGAAACACUAUGACAAUCCACAAUGUUUUGUGAGAAAAGCUAUAGUGCUUUCCCUACAUGAUUUAGUCUUACUUGUAAUUAUAAUUGUCAAUCAGUUUAAUAUAAAAACAAUAAAAUCAAUAAAGAUAAUUUAAAAAAAUAUUAAAAAACAAAAAAAACAAUGUUGGGAAAACACUGUAGCAAUCCAUAGUAAUUUGAGGAAAGCUACAGUGCUUCCCCACAUUUUCUAAUUGUAACAAUCAGCUUAAUAUUAAAAUAAAAUCGAUAAAGUUAAUUUUGAAAAAAAUCACUACAAAAAAUAGAAACAAAAAAAAUUAUAUGGGGAAACACUACAACAAUUCAUAGUAUUUAAAAAAAAACAAAGCUAAAUUCUCAACCAACUUAAUAUUAAAAAAAAAAUGAAGAUAAUUUUGAAAAAAAUCAUAACAAAAAACACAAAAUACAAAAAAAAAAAAAACUAUAUUGGAAACACUAUAGCAAUCCACAGUAUUUUGUGAGGAAAACUACAAUGCUUCCCCACAUGAUUUAACCUUAUUUAUAAUUACUUAUAAUUGUAAUUCUCAAUCAACUUAAUAUUAAAAAAAAUUGAUGAAGACAAUUUAAAAAAAUAUUAAAAAACAAAAAAAAAACAUGUUGGGAAAACACUAUAGCAAUCCACAGUAAUUUUUGAGUAAAGCUAUAGUGUUUUCCCUAUAUAUUGUAAUUGUAAUUGUAAUUCUCAUCAACUUAAUAUUAAAAAAUAAAAUUGCAAAGAUAAUUUUGAAAAAAAAUCAUAAAAAAACAAAUAAAACCUUGUGGGGAAACAUUGUAGUAAUCUACAAUGUUUUAAAGAAAAAAAAAUUGCAAAGCUAAAUUCUCAACCAACUCAAUAUUAAAAAAUAAAAUUGAUAAAUACAAUUUUAAAAAAAAUCAUUAAAAAAAAAGCAAGUUGGGAAACACUGUAGUAAUUUAUAUUGUUCUAUGAGAAAAAGUUAUAGCUGUAAAUCUCAACUAACUCAAUAUUAAAAAAUAAAAUAAAAUCAACAAAUAAUUUUGAAAAAAACCUGACAAAAAAAAGUAUGUGGGGAAACGCUAUAGCAAUUCACGGUGUUUUAAAAAAAAAUGACAAAGUUAAAUUCUUAACAAACUCAAUAUUUAAAAAAAAAAUCAACAAAGAUAAUUUUGGGGAAAAAAAUAAAAAAAAUUAGGAAAAAUAAAAAAAAUAAAAAACCAAAACAUGAAGGAAAAAGAAAAAAAAAAAAGCACUAUAGCAAUCCACAGUAACAUGUGAAGAAAACUAUAGUAUUUUCCCUACAUGUUUUAGCUAUAUUGUAGUUGUAAAUUUUAUCAAAUAUUUUCAAUGUAGAUUAUUAUAUAUUUUAAUCUAAAAAUGUAAUUUAUUUUGUUUUAUGAAUAAAUAUUUUUUUAAUUAUUAGUAUUUAUUUAAAUAAAACACAUAAUUUGUUUUUAUGUUAAUUAAAAUCUUAUUUCAGUAAUUAACUAACUUGCAUAUACUUGUAAUUGCUUUAAAUUAACUUAUAAAUUGUUUCAUAUAUAUCUUCAAUUCUUUAAUAACAUGUUGAAUAAGCAAGUGAAAUAACAUAUAAAGAGAUUGUAGUCCAAAUUUAAAACAAGUUGUUUUACAUUUUUUGGGCUUAUGAAAUAGAACUAACACUAUAUAUUUCAUGAUAUCUAAAAACAUUACAAAUUAAUAUCCAACUAAAUUCAGUAUCAUAAUGUAAUAGCUUACAACUUAGUACAAAGGAAAAGCAAAGUGGAAAUGGAUAGUUUCGUUGUCACAGACUCAGCUACAGCAGCAAUGCAGCACUGUACGCAUAAUCACUAAAAUUAAAGCAGCUUUAAGCAUUUCAAGAUUGCAGCAACCAGCUGAGAGACAGAACAGGCUCAACCUUAGUGAAGAUGAAGGGUGCUGGAAUAAAAUGUGCAUCCAAGUAAAACAAGCUGCGUCAAAUAGUGCAAAAAAUAUUUCAUGGGAUCAUCAUGGUGUCUUUUUUCACUCAAUAUGCUUUCGUCUCCUCAAGAAGGUGACCUGAUUAUCCAAGCUGCGGAGACCAUAAAAAAAUGAAAUAGAAAUGGACUCAUGACAUGAAAGAUUCUAUUCCAAAAUUCUUCCCAAAUCAUUUGUGGAGGUCGGCAACUCGGAGCAUCGCCUCUGGCGACAGAUCCCAUGAGUUGCUAAUUUCCUGUUUAGUAUUGUAUCGUGUUCUAAAAGUGGUUGGUUAAAGUUUGCAAUUUUUUUUAUUUAAAAUUAAUUUUUUUUAUGUUUUUAGAUAUUUUGAUAUUAAAUAUAAUUUUAAAAAAUAAAAAAUAUUAUUUUGAUAUAUCUCUUAGUGAAAAAAAAUUUUUAAAAAUAAUUUUUAUCACACUUUCAAACUCCUCAAGGUGUAUUAUAAUUAUAUUCAUGCAAUGCUAAAUUAAAGAAUGGAGAUUUCAUUAAAAAAAAAACACAUGAAUAAACCAGCCGAAGGGACCAAACAGCCUUCUAUACCUGCUCAUCGUCUCAUUUCAAAUCCUGUCGCUGAAUCCAAGUUCACAAGUAUCCUUUACAGUCCAACCACAAAAUCACAACACUGGUGGCUACAUGACACAGCUCUGUCUAAUCAAGUUGACUUCAGUUUGGCCGGUCACAAGCAAAGGGCAAUCAGUGAGCAAAAGAAACACAAGUAGAGAACAAACUACUUUUUAUCAGCUACCUGUGCCUUAACUGUUCCUCAAAACAAUUCCAAUCAAGCUGAGGCUAAAGGCAACAAAUGCAUGAUGUGUUUAAACGUUUUGAACAAGGCUCUAUAAUCCCACUGAUCCAUAUAUUAACUGGCCAUUGUUCUGCUUGUCUUAUUGUGAGAAACAAGGGCCCUUGCGUAAGAUUUCUCUAUCAAUAAUCACUCAAUUAUUGGGUUCGGAAAGUGGUUAAUGUGAUGCAAAAUGUAUGGCUUAAUUACAGAAAGUAUUUUAUAGGUGGCAUUUUGGAACAUGAUUCAUGCUUUUUCAGGGCAAGUUUCGCAAAACGAGGCAUUAAUGAUGGAUGGUAGAAGAUAAAGGUUGCUUCUUGAGGCACAAUUUUUGGCGGAUUAAGGGAGCUAUUAGGUAAAGAGAGACAGUGGGUCUGCAUUUUCGUAGGGUAAAGAACGAUAUCAUCAAGUGGCUCGCAGACAAGAAAACGCGUGACCAAAGACUAGAAAAGUAGGCAUUAUAAUUCACAAACGUCAAGAAGCCAAGUAUAGAGGAACUUAUUUUCCGGUAUACUUUGCCUUGCAGGACCAGUCCUGGGCGUCGAAUGCUCAAAACUUUUGCUGACCGACCAGCAUAAAUGAUGGUUCAGCUUUGUGGUCCUCGGAAAGGAACCAGAUUGCAUCAUCACACAAACUAUCCAACACAUCAGGAAUAGUGACUGCCCAGCUUAUGAUCACUACAAAUAAAAGCAACUCCAAGCAUAUAGCAACGAAGGUCAAUUAUUCAAGAGAUUUGACAAUUUAUUUGUCAAGGAACUGUAUUCAGAACCUGCAAGCUGUAAAAUGCACCGUCACAUGGCUGCCAACCAUAAGAAUCCAACAGAAUCAAUCUGCAUCCUACCGCUUAGUUUCCAUUUACCAAAGAAACAACCUCUAAGAAAGUUGCAAUGCAUGUAAAGACCUUCAGUGAAUAAGAUGUAUCAACAGCAGCCCGUCUAAAUCAUGCAGUUGAAGAAUUGUGAUAUCAGGUAUAAACAUCAAUGAUCCAUAAGAUGUAUCUUGAGCCUAAAGUCCAAAACUGUGCACAAUCCUCGGCAUUGAACUCCAGGAGCUAAAAAACAACUUAUAAGCUUCGCAUGUCAAAAGGCCUAAAAACACAAAGUGAUCCCUUAGCAUAGUAGCCGCUAUUCAUUAAGGCAUUAGAAGCUAAUCUGUGUAAGAGUAGCUGCAUCUAAAAGGACUAAUAUUUAUUUUUAUACAAGAACAAAAGUAAAGGACCUUUACUGUUGUUUGAAAGAAAAACUUCACUCAUGUGCUAGCUUUCUUGCCCAAAUCAGCUGCAGCUUCGGCUGCCUGUGUCAAGACACCUGAAACCCAAAGAGCUCCCUUAGCAAAGUAGGUGCUGUUGACUACAGCAUUAGCUGCUGCUACAGCUGUUUUCCCGGUAAAAGUUGCUGCAGAAACAGCUGCUGUACCAGUAACUGAUGCAGCUGAUUUGGUGAAUUCUGAAACAUGGUACUUCUCAUCCACGCCUUUCACAGUUUCCAUUCCUGCAUAAAUCUUGUCAGUGAGCCCAAUUCUAUUGCUUAGCUCAGACACCUUGGCAGCUGCGGUAGCUAAGACUUGAUGAGAUUCGUCAAAAGCUUUGGCCUUGACCAUUGCAUCUUUUCCCAAAAUGUAUCCCUUGGAUAACAUUGUUUUAACAACUUCCUGAGCAACAGUUACUGCUUCUCCAGGGGUAGAAACAAACUGGUCGUAGGGAAUUCCCUGCCAAGAAUGUAGAAAUGUUGGUUCAAAAGGGAAGGUAGACUAAUAGAAAGCUAUUAGGUACCAUGUCAUUUCACUUGCUAUGAACAAUUAUUAUGCAGGGUGCAAUGUUCACAAUCAGUGUUAAAAUAAUAGAUAGUGCAUCCAACGAAGAACAAGCUGUACAGCAUGGUGGCAUCCAAUUCCAAAACUACGCACCCAAUUUAGGACUUUCAUGACCAUAUAAAGAUGUGAUUUGGCUUGGUUGCAUCAUUGAGAUGCACUUCAACCCCUUCACUUGUAUGAUAAACAUCAAGUGUUUUUUAAAAUCAGCCAGUCGGGUUGCUUAUAUUGGUAAUUAAUAUCUAUCGUAUUGUCUUAGUAACUUGCAGGUAUGUUUUAACUUGACAUUGACCAAAACAUGCUUGUUGAACUCUGGAUGUAUCGAGUGUUGAUACAUCCAAAACAUACUACUGUACUUUUGAUUUUCUGUCCAUUAGGUUGCAAGAGGAAAUGGCUAUCCUUUACCUCUUAUUGAGUUUUUGAAGAAAUAUUUCAAAUUUUGAGAUUAGAUAAAUUUUGCCAUACUCAACUUAAACCGAUGAGAUUAAGAAUUUGUAAACUUAUAUAUAAGAUAAAUGGGACAGUAAAAAGAGCACUCGGCAUGCUACCACAAGUAAAGAUAUUACCGCUGAGCUGGUGUUUCCUUCAUCCUUUGAUGAACUGCCCCAAGCAUCAAAUUCAUCCACAAAAGUUCCCCAGUGUGUUAUGCAAACACGUUGAUCUACAAUGGUGGCUCCCUAAAACAUAAAAUUAGAGCAAAAUAAAUCUAUUAACCACUAAGAAAAUGUCAGAUAGCAAGACCAAAGAACCAAGUAGGUGUUCAUGAUGGCUAUUGGAUCAUUCAGCUGAAAGCUGAAGUUCGAUACAAUACAAAACAAAAGAAAUUCAUUCAAGUUUAUUCUGUAGCUAAAAGGUAGCCUUCAAAAUGAUUCAAGUUUAUUCUUAGAAAAGGAAAACUAACGAGCAAUUUGCCAUCAGUAAGCAUGUAAAUUAUUAGCUGAAAUCCUAAUGAUGAUCUCAUAAACACCAAUUAAAAGAGAAUUAUAAACAGUUUUAAGUGAUUAAAAUAUAGAGGCAAUCCAAAAACGUUUUCUUAAGAGGUAAAUGAUGAACUUCUAGUUCAAUGGUCAUUCAGAUUUAUGAUUCCACAUAAGGUCAUACUUUGAAGCAGAACUGUGAACUUCCAACUUAUGUCAGGCGAUCUUUGAGCUGGUUGUUCAAAUCCAAAUAUUAAGAUAUUGACAUAACUUAUUUGAGGUCAAAACUUCCAACUUAUUCAGAGUUCAGACAUGGGUAGAGUGACAUUGUCGUCAUAUCCAUUGGAAAAAAAAAAAAA